rnacentral:rRNA from 1 species
AUUGAACGCUGGCGGCAUGCCUAACACAUGCAAGUCGAACGAAGCCUUCGGGCUUAGUGGCGCACGGGUGCGUAACGCGUGGGAAUCUGCCCUUGGGUUCGGAAUAACAGUUAGAAAUGACUGCUAAUACCGAAUGAUGUCUUCGGACCAAAGAUUUAUCGCCCAAGGAUGAGCCCGCGUCGGAUUAGCUAGUUGGUGAGGUAAAGGCUCACCAAGGCGACGAUCCGUAGCUGGUCUGAGAGGAUGAUCAGCCACACUGGGACUGAGACACGGCCCAUACUCCUACGGGAGGCAGCAGUGGGGAAUUUUACGCAAUGGGGGAAACCCUGACGUAGCGACACCGCGUGAAUGAAGAAGCCCUUUGGGGUGUAAAAUUCUGUCGGCUGGGAAGAAAAAAAUAGACGGUACCAGCAAAGGAAGCAUCGGCUAACUAACGUGCCAGCAGCCG